rnacentral:rRNA from 1 species
GACGAACGCUGGCGGCGUGCUUAACACAUGCAAGUCGAACGAAGUGGCGAACGGGUGAGUAACGCGUAAUCAACCUGCCCUUCAGAGGGGGACAACAGUUGGAAACGACUGCUCAUACCGCAUACUGAAGGAGGGGAUUGCGUCUGCUUAGCGAGUUGGAGGGGUAACGGCCCACCAAGGCGAUGAUCAGUAGCCGGUCGGCGAGAAUGCACGGGCACAGUGGGACUGAUACACGGCCCAGACUCCUACGGGAGGCAGCAGUGGGGAAUGUGACGAAAUGGAAGAAAGUCUGACGGAGCAACGCCGCGGGAGUGAUGACGGCCUGCGGGUGGUAAAGAUCUGUUAAUCGGGACGCGGUACCGGAAUAGAAAGCCACGGCUAACGACGUGCCAGCAGCCGCGGUAAUUC